UAGUUUUAUUAUGCCCUUCUUUCAACACAUGCCAUGUAUUUUGUCAACGAAAGUGCUAAAGUGAAGAGUUUUAGUUUGAGGUUAUUUUCAGUGUGGUUACAUUUGUGUGUCCUCACCAGGUGCGUCAGAAGCAUAAAAAUGUGGGGGUUAGUCCCCCAAUGAGGGGCUUCCCACAGAAAACACUAUUAUGGUGUAGAUGGCAUUUUCUGCAUUAUAGUGCAUUUUGCUUACAGUAGUUAAACCUUAAAGGAGCAUGGGGCAGAAUUGUCCAAAAACAAAAAGUAAAUGUUCAUUCUUGUGAAGCUUAUGGGUGAUGAAGCAUUUUAAACUAAAAAGAAUGAUAAAACCAGUUUAUCAUUCCAUUUUGUUAAACAGGCUGUGUGCUUCAAAAUGCAAAACAUGUCGCAUCCGAAUUUCCCGCGCUGUUUUAAGGAUGUGACGUUAUUUGACGCUUCAAGCGCAUUCUCGACAAGGUUCAAACCCGGAAAAACAUUUGGAAGCUUGCUAGGUGGCGGUAAUGCGUCUUUCACUACUAGCCACGUUAAAACCUCAAACAGAAGAGGAAGAACCCUGGAAAUGGAUUCUACAACUAGCAAACGACCAAGCGCAACUCAAAGCCCACUAAAGAGUGGCACAAAGAAAAAGGUUUUAUCAGCGGCAUGUCGAGAGUCAAAAAGAAAAUAUGAUAAAAGUCGGUCAGGGACCCGAAUAUCUAUUGGUUACGCUCUGGAAAAAUGGAGGCUGCUUCAACUGGAUUUGGUGCCUGAAAAAGGAUGCGGACAUGGCACAUUUUCUAGUGACCAGCUACCAGGAGAAGCAGGCUCCUGAAACUGCAAUUCAGGGAGGUAAUGUGCAGUCAACCUCAACACCCAGUAAGCGAACAGCAGCUAAAAUGUUGCAUCGAUUAUCUCCAACUGAACCUGUGUCUGAGGGGUUAGUAUCUUUUCUGUAAAACAAAUAUUCACGUUUUUGUGCUAUGAUAUUUCAUACAUUAAAUUACACCUUGCAUAUCCACACUUGGUUCAGAACUAACAUCACACCACCAAACACUUCUGACAUUAUCUUUACAGUGAAGAUUUUCUAAUGGCUGGUGUUGAGGCCUUAGCUGAUGACCUAGAUUUGGAUCCUGUUACAACCAGGUGUCUAGGGGGCCUGGGGUAACAUGGAGGACGCGUGACACAAAGGAAAAUUAACAAAGGUUUUAUUUACUUUCUCUUAAUUCAGAAAAGAUGACUAUUAUUCUUUUAACCACCACGGAUCUAAAUCCACUUUUACCAAAACAGGUUCAAACAGUAAGAGCACAAUACCGAAGUUCUAAGUGGGAGACAACAGACCAGAGGAAAGGCAGCUCUGCACUAUUGUCCCCAUUGGUGAGGAGCUCCAGCUGGUCCUUUAAACAAUUUGCGGCUGAUGAAAACCCAGCUCAGCUGGUGCAGGGAGGAGCAAGUGUGAGCCAACAUAGUCUGCAGGCAGGCUCCUCAGAUGAAACAUAAAAUGCACAGAAAAAUGAAAUCACAACACAAAAAGGCUCCAGCCGUAACACUUCCCCCCAUAAAGCCUAAGGUCUACACCUUUGGGUACAAAAAACAAAACAACAAACACUGCUACAUCUCAUUCUCCAGGUUGGGCUAAACCAAAAUCUUUUCUGUGCCUUUGCUGCUUGUCAUCUUACUUAAUAAGUGGCCAAAGCACGGAAUUUGUAAAGCGAAGGUCUCUGUACACUACUCACGGAUAAAUCAUAAUGGUUUCUUUUUAUUUUUCCUCUUUAUUUUGGCUGGUCCACAAAACCCAGCAUCAAACACGGGCGGCUCAGGCUCAGCAGCACGUCUGUCCAUUUCACAGGAGCCUGUGUUUUUGUUUCCUGCAAUGAGACCUUUAGGAGUAGAAACUGACAUGUUUUCUACUCCCUUAGCUUGAGGUUUUGACCAGGCAGGUGGAACCACCAAGUCCCCGGCGAUGUCAUUUCCCAACAGGAGAACGACGCCAUCCACUGGUAGGGAGCGACAGACAGCAAUGUUAAAAUAUCCUGUGACGAGAUCAGAUGUUAAAAACACACGAUGGACAGGCCUCUGAAAGGACGGGGGCGCAAUCCCUUUAACAACUACUUUAAAACCACAAGCUCUUCUUCCAGAAAAGGGUAAUGCCGAACUCAGAAUGAGAGAAUGAGAUGCCCCAGUGUCCCUCAGGAUUUUUAUCGGUACAGGCCUAUCAUCAGCCGACAAUGAAACAAAUCCAGAAAAUACAAAUGGCUUAGAACAGGAUCCCACAUCCCGUUCCCCAACAGUAACAUGGGCUGAACAGGUAAAAACCUCAACAUUGUCAGGCUGUUCUUGUCUUACAUUCUUGGCCUGGAGAAUGGGACAGUCCUUUAUGACAUGACCAGGCUUGUGACAAUAAAAACACAGAGCAGGUUCAGGAACGACAUUCGUUAUGUCUGCCUCAGCAGGCGGCCCAGGUGAGGGUCUUCUGUUGGGAUCAAAGUUCACCCUGUGAGUUAACACAAACUCAUCUGCGAGCUGCGCUGCAGCAGACAAUGACGUCACCUUCUGCUCGUUUACAUACUGAACCACUUUAUCAGGGAUGCAGCGUUUAAAUUCCUCAAGGAGCAGGAGCUCACGCAAAGUAGCAAAGUCUUUUACCUUGGAGGAAUUACACCAUUUAUCGAAUAGAACCGUUUUUACUCGAGCAAAGUCUAUGUGUGUCUGUGCAGAGUUUUUCCUGGAAAGUCUGAAUUUCUGGCGAUAGGCUUCUGGCACCAACUCAUAUGCCUGUAAAACUGCAGUUUUAACGGUGUCAUAAUUAUUGCUAUCCGAGACAGAGAGAGUGGCUACAACCUCGGAGGCUUUACCUGUGAAUCUGCACUGCAGCAGAAGAGGCCACACAUCCCGCGGCCAAUUAAGCGCCGUUGCGAUGCGUUCAAACGCAGAGAAGUAGCAGUCAACCUCAGAUUCCCUGAAAACAGGCAUCAACGCCAUGCAGUUACUGAUAUUAAAAGAGUCUUGCGGUGGGGAACUCACCGGAGAUGUCUCUUUCUCAGCCUUCACAGCCUCGUGUUCAAGUUCAAGUUUGCGGAGCCGCAAUUUUGUAUCAGCUUCCAGUUCCAGCUUUCUCAUCUCAAACUCCAGCUGUCUGCGCUGGGCUCUGUCCUCAGCGUCCAAACGGAGUUGCUCAAUCCUCAGCCUGAAUUCGGCUGGAGUCACGUCCUCAUCAGAGUCAGCCGGGUCGGCGUCUCCAGCAGCUGUAACCAGUCUGUCUCUGUCAUCAGGUGCUGCAGGGCUGACAGGGGGCGGGGUCGCCAGGGGAGGUUCAGCAUGUACACGGGCCUCCGCAGGCGAGGCAGCCUGUUGCCGAGUAAGCAGGCCCAAGUCCUCCAAGCCACUGAUUACCACCUCCUGCAGCUCCACCUUUAACAUUGAGCUGUCCACCUGAAAUCCAAAGUGAUCCGCCACGUCCAGCAGAUCCCGCUUGCGACAGGCACCAAUCAGUCCACGGGAUGGGGCCUCCACAAACUGCGCUAAAUCAAAAGUAGCCAUAACUGGUAAAACACUGAUACACACAAAUGAUCACGCAUCCAACCUCAGUUUAGGGGUACUUAAUGAUCCCGGACGAGCCCCCAUAUGUUACAACCAGGUGUCUAGGGGGCCUGGGGUAACAUGGAGGACGCGUGACACAAAGGAAAAUUAACAAAGGUUUUAUUUACUUUCUCUUAAUUCAGAAAAGAUGACUAUUAUUCUUUUAACCACCACGGAUCUAAAUCCACUUUUACCAAAACAGGUUCAAACAGUAAGAGCACAAUACCGAAGUUCUAAGUGGGAGACAACAGACCAGAGGAAAGGCAGCUCUGCACUAUUGUCCCCAUUGGUGAGGAGCUCCAGCUGGUCCUUUAAACAAUUUGCGGCUGAUGAAAACCCAGCUCAGCUGGUGCAGGGAGGAGCAAGUGUGAGCCAACAUAGUCUGCAGGCAGGCUCCUCAGAUGAAACAUAAAAUGCACAGAAAAAUGAAAUCACAACACAAAAAGGCUCCAGCCGUAACAGAUCCUUUUGAAGAAAGGUAAAUAUGUUCAUGAGAAGUCUUGCUAUAUAUGCAGGAAAUUACUGCUGUAAUAUGUGUAAAAAAGAUAAAAACACAAUAGUUCAGCAAAUAUAUGUCAUUAUAUAUAUUUAUGUUGUGAAGUGUCAAUUCACAGCAGAUUGUUGUUAUUUGCAGAAAGAAUUAAUGACAGAUGUAUUAGGCUCCAUAUUUAUCUCUUUAGAAUCAGUACCAUUUCAGGUAAGUUCCAGUAUUUAUCUUUACGUACAACAAAUAUUAUUGUGUUGUCUGUAGUUUCAAAUCCAUGGAUCUAGCUACGGAUGCAGUCCAAAUUGAUGAGGACCAAGCAAACGACUUACUCAACAGUGUGCUGGGAUCCUAAAGGGAAUUUCCAUCCUACUUGUGUGGCUGAAUGACAUCUUCAACCAAUUUUGGUACAUUUGUCAGAAAGCACAACAUCGUGAUAUGUUUAAUGACAUGUGGGUGGGUGUGCUUCACCAUGUCACAGGGAAGCAUGAAUGGACCCAUGGCAAAUGUGACCAUGGACCACUUGAUGCAACGUGGCAUGGUGCCAGGAUCUCCACCACACAAGGCUCUUCAACGAAUCAUGUUCAACAGACACUGGUUGAAGGAUGCCACCAAUCUGACCUUUAGGCCCCAGCUACGUGAAGCAUCAAAAGACAGGAAUGACUUCUUUCAUGCACACAGAUUUAUUAGAAAUUAAGAAAACAUACUAUGUAC